rnacentral:rRNA from 1 species
AAAGAUUAAGCCAUGCAUGUCUAAGUAUAAGCAAUCUAUACAGUGAAACUGCGAAUGGCUCAUUAAAUCAGUUAUCGUUUAUUUGAUAGUACCUUACUACUUGGAUAACCGUGGUAAUUCUAGAGCUAAUACAUGCUAAAAACCCCGACUUCGGAAGGGGUGUAUUUAUUAGAUAAAAAACCAAUGCUCUUCGGGGCUCCUUGGUGAUUCAUAAUAACUUCUCGAAUCGCACGGCCUUGCGCCGGCGAUGGUUCAUUCAAAUUUCUGCCCUAUCAACUUUCGACGGCUGGGUCUUGGCCAGCCAUGGUGA